AAAUUGAAGAGUUUGAUCAUGGCUCAGAUUGAACGCUGGCGGCAGGCCUAACACAUGCAAGUCGAACGGUAACAGGAAGCAGCUUGCUGCUUCGCUGACGAGUGGCGGACGGGUGAGUAAUGUCUGGGAAACUACCUGAUGGAGGGGGAUAACUACUGGAAACGGUGGCUAAUACCGCAUAACGUCGCAAGACCAAAGAGGGGGACCUUCGGGCCUCUUGCCAUCAGAUGUGCCCAGAUGGGAUUAGCU
rnacentral:rRNA from 2 species